rnacentral:rRNA from 1 species
UACGUAGGGUGCAAGCGUUAAUCGGAAUUACUGGGCGUAAAGCGUGCGCAGGCGGUUUUGUAAGUCUGACGUGAAAUCCCCGGGCUCAACCUGGGAAUUGCGUUGGAGACUGCAAGGCUAGAAUCUGGCAGAGGGGGGUAGAAUUCCACGUGUAGCAGUGAAAUGCGUAGAGAUGUGGAGGAACACCGAUGGCGAAGGCAGCCCCCUGGGUCAAGAUUGUCGCUCAUGCACGAAAGCGUGGGGAGCAAACAGG